UGGGGGAUAUUGCACAAUGGGCGAAAGCCUGAUGCAGCGACGCCGCGUGGGGGAUGAAGGCCUUCGGGUUGUAAACUUCUUUUGCUCUGAACAAGGCGCACCAUGGGGUGUGUUGAGUGUAGGGGUUGAUUAGCGCCGGCUAACUACGUGCCAGCAGCCGCGGUAAUACGUAGGGCGCGAGCGUUGUCCGGAAUUAUUGGGCGUAAAGGGCUUGUAGGUGGCUGGUUGCGUCUGUCGUGAAAGCUCAUGGCUUAACUGUGGGUUUGCGGUGGGUACGGGCUGGCUUGAGUGCAGUAGGGGAGGCUGGAAUUCCUGGGGUAGCGGUGGAAUGCGCAGAUAUCAGGAGGAAUACCGGUGGCGAAGGCGGGUCUCUGGGCUGUUACUGACACUGAGGAGCGAAAGCAUGGGGAGCGAACAGG
rnacentral:rRNA from 1 species